rnacentral:rRNA from 1 species
CCCCACUGCUAUCGGGAUGGGACUAAGACAUGCUAGUCGAGCGCUUCUUAGCCAUGAUGGGAGCGCGACGCACAGCUCAGUAACAUGUGGCUAACCUGCCCUUGGGAUAGGAACAACCCCGGGAAACUGGGGCUAAUUCCCAAUAGGUGAAGAACUCUGGAAUGGGUCUUCGCCGGAAAGGACGCUUGCUUCAUGCUGCAGGCUUCGCCCAAGGAUGGGGCCGCAGCCGAUCAGGUUGUUGGUGAGGUAACGGCUCACCAAGCCUUUUACCGGUACGGGCCGUGAGAGCGGGAGCCCGGAGAUGGGCACUGAGACAAGGGCCCAGGCCCUACGGGGCGCAGCAGUCGCGCAAACUUUGCAAUACACGAAAGUGUGACAGGGCUAUCCCGAGUGCCGUCCGCUGAGGGUGGCUUUUGCCCAGUCUAGCAAGCUGGGAGAAUAAGGAGAGGGCAAGUCUGGUGUCAGCCGCCGCGGUAAUACCAGCUCUCCGAGUGGUAGGGACGAUUAUUGGGCCUAAAGCGUCCGUAGCCGGCCAAGCAAGUUUCCCGUUAAAUCCAGCGAUCCAAUCGUUGGACUGCGGGAAAUACUGUUUGGCUAGGGGGCGAGAGAGGCCAACGGUAUUCCCGGGGUAGGGGUGAAAUCCUAUAAUCCCGGGAGGACCACCAGUGGCGAAGGCUGUUGGCUAGAACGCGCUCGACGGUGAGGGACGAAAGCUGGGGGAGCGAACCGGAUUAGAUACCCGGGUAGUCCCAGCUGUAAACGAUGCGGGCUAGGUGUUAGGGCGGCUACGAGCCGCUCUAGUGCCGCAGGAAAGCCAUUAAGCCCGCCGCCUGGGGAGUACGGCCGCAAGGCUGAAACUUAAAGG